AGAGUUUGAUCAUGGCUCAGAACGAACGCUGGCGGCGUGCCUAACACAUGCAAGUCGAGCGCGAACGGAGCAAUCCUAGUAGAGCGGCGCACGGGUGCGUAACACGUGGGUAAUCUGCCCAAAAGUCUGGAACAACCUGCCGAAAGGUAGGCUAAUGCCGGAUAAGCUCACGAGGUCUUCGGAUCUUGGGAGAAAAGGUGGCCUCUGUUUACAUGCUAUCUCUUUUGGAUGAGCCCGCGGCCCAUCAGCUAGUUGGCGGGGUAAUGGCCCACCAAGGCUACGACGGGUAGCUGGUCUGAGAGGACGAUCAGCCACACUGGAACUGAGACACGGUCCAGACUCCUACGGGAGGCAGCAGUGGGGAAUUUUGCGCAAUGGGCGAAAGCCUGACGCAGCAACGCCGCGUGUGUGAUGAAGGUCUUUGGAUUGUAAAGCACUUUCGACCGGGAAGAAACCGGAUUGGCUAACACCCAAUUCAUUGACGGUACCGGGAGAAGAAGCACCGGCUAACUCUGUGCCAGCAGCCGCGGUAAUACAGAGGGUGCAAGCGUUGUUCGGAAUUAUUGGGCGUAAAGCGCGUGUAGGCGGCUUUGCAAGUCGGGUGUGAAAUCCCUCGGCUCAACCGAGGAAGUGCGCCCGAAACUGCAGAGCUUGAGUACCGGAGAGGAUGGUGGAAUUCCCCAAGUAGAGGUGAAAUUCGUAGAUAUGGGGAGGAACACCGGUGGCGAAGGCGACCAUCUGGACGGAUACUGACGCUGAGACGCGAAAGCGUGGGUAGCAAACAGGAUUAGAUACCCUAGUAGUCC
rnacentral:rRNA from 1 species